CCUACGGGUGGCUGCAGUAGGGAAUAUUGGACAAUGGGCGAAAGCCUGAUCCAGCCAUGCCGCGUGAUAGAUGAAGGCCCUCUGGGUUGUAAAUAUCUUUUAUCUGGGAAGAAACAAUCUUAUUCUUAAGAUCUUGACGGUACCAGAGGAAUAAGCACCGGCUAACUCCGUGCCAGCAGCCGCGGUCAUACGGAGGGUGCAAGCGUUAUCCGGAUUCAAGGGGUUGUAGGCGGGCUUAUGCGUCAGUGGUGAAAGUUCCGAGCUUAACUUGGAAACUGCCAUUGAUACUGCCAGUCUUGAAUGUCGUAGAGGUAAGCGGAAUGUUGCAUGUAGCGGUGAAAUGCUUAGAUAUGUUACAGAACACCAAUUGCGAAGGCAGCUUACUAUGCGAUGAUUGACGCUGAGGCACGAAAGCGUGGGGAGCAAACAGGAUUAGAUACCCGAGUAGUC
rnacentral:rRNA from 1 species